AAUUCACUCAAAAUUAACCAGCGAGGCUCCCCUCGACUCCCUCGACAUGCCUCUUCCUCGUUCGAUCGCCCGGUUCGCUCGGACGCAGAUCUCCCACAUCCUCCUCUUUUCAACCCAACCCGCCUAGGGUUCCUAGCCCCACGUCCGCCGCCGCGCCAUGCUACUAUUUUCCAAGCGCCGUCGCAAUGGGCUCCAUCGCCGUACAACCCUCCUACCAAAUCGCUUGAUGCGAUGGGUCAUGCCGCAUCCCCAGGCCCCACAAGAUACACCCACCAGCACUACCAGAUCGGGCGAUGAAGAGGACGCAAUCCGCCGGCGACGAGGCGGGCGGCGCCACCACGUUCGUGCUUAAGCGCCUCCGGGUACCAGGCAUGCGCGUGAGGCAAGGCGCCUCCUGGGCUCUAUCAUCGCAUCACCAACAACCCCACGGCCGAGCAGGAGGAGUGCUUCCACGGAUUCAAAUAUAUGCAAGUAGAUGCAGGCUGUAGCACAUGCUUCCAUCACCUCCCUGUGUCGCUCGAGUCAUGGGCUCCAUCGUGUGACGCACUGCAAGGAUGUCAACCAUACUGCUGCAGGGUUCAGUGCCGUCAUCUUUGUCCGCAUCUUCCGCUCGGCAGAUGGAGUCUCCAUCGUUAUAUGGCUGCAGAGGUAAGUUGCUCAAAUGAUUAACAUUAUGUUUGUGCUCCAGGUCUAAAGGAGGUAGAGGAGCUCCAGUUUGAUCCUAAGGAUGGUAUUGCUUUUUUUAAAAUUAAAUUACUUGUUCGUAUCGUAAUUUCACACUGAGAAUUUUUCUUUUCUCAACUAUUUGCUAUCUGUUGUCCCUUCGAUGUUUUAAGUGGCCAAUUUGAGUUUGCCCGAUCACAGUUUCCACAAGCAUUGUUUGGCCUUUCAAAAGUUCUGAUAGAAAAAUUCUUACAUUCUUUCUCUUACAACCAAAAGGAGAUUCUACUUCAUGUGUUGUCUUACAAGCAACGAGGCUAGCUGUCUUGCACACACCACAAAUGAAGGUUUUGGAACUCCAUUCUCCAAUAGUAUCAGUGAAUCAAACACUCCAAUCUCUCUGAAUUCUAACCCAACUUACAAUGCUAUAUAUCUGAUGCCAAGGAGUGAAAACUUGCAGCAACAUCUCCGACACCCUCUCGACGAGCUGCAAUUAGAUCAUAGCUGAGGAGGCGGCAAUGACCACUGAGGUACAACAACCACUUGACACUGAACCUAAUGCGUCCGCUUUAUCUUCAUCUACAUCAUUAAGUUCUCUUUGUGGUUUCUGAUAUUGCGGAAGCUGAAUGACAAUAGUAAUGACUGGUGGAUCCAUGUUUGCGUUUGCUGACGACAACGAUAAUGAGUUUUUACGGCUGCACUUGAGGGUGAUCGUAUCCAUGCUACCAUUCUGCAGUAUCUUGAGAUUUCUACAGUGGAGUAGUACACAACUACGUAUCACAAGUUUGAGCUUAGAUGAACAACAUGGGCACCAUCAAACGGAUAGAUCAUGUGCCCGAUGGGUCUCAUGAUGGAGUAGUUGAUAAUGGUUAUAUACAAAACAUAUCUUGACAGAGGUGGCGCCAGACGUCACAGAGAGGUACCGCGUUCGGUCCAACGAGGAGCUCCGGGCAUGGUGGGCGGUGGCCAUGGCAUUGGCCUCAUGGGUUUACUCUGACUGCCGCCGGCCAUUCUCGCAAACAAUGGCUUAGGUUUUGAGGAGGAUUAGCAUGUCACCACAUAACAACUUUGUAAGUGUGAUGUAAUACUGGCGAAUGUAUGCAUUCACACAAUCAAAGGAUUGAAUUGUGCGAAGGAUUCAUACUCCAUAUCUUUUUACCUAUCUAGACUCUAGAUCAUAUGGGAACAACCACAGUUGCUUACCUCAGCAAAUAGCAACAUCACUGCACUUGGUCCUUUUCUGCCCUUCAACAAGUUGGCCCCAGACAUAUCUUGCUUGCUUGCUGAUCUGGUGAUUGUUCAACACAACUGGACAUGUGUUGGAUGGUUAUUUUUUAUAUUCUGAAAGGAGAUCUUGUAUGCUGCAAAUGAGAUCAUUCACCAGCACACUCAAGCAGAAGUAGCAACAGAAGACACAUAUGUCUGAUGUGCUCAAGAGAAUGACGUCUCUACAAUCUGGAUGUUGCCUAGAUAGCAGAGAUCAUAAAAACAGGAGAAUCAUGGGUAAGGUGCCCCUUUCAAGUCAAUCCUUCUUAGAAGGGAUGCAACAUGUUAGUAAUUGUAUAGAUGGUUCAAUUGAUUGUGAAGUGUGUGUUCAUGGAGGUGGAAGGGGGCAUUGCGAGCCGGAUUUGUCACUACUGAGGUGGCGAACAUGGACUAGGGUUGCGGAGUGCAAAUGAAGCUAAAGACAACAUAUAAUUAUUUAGAUCAUUUCUCCCUAUAUACAUGGUUGAGUUAAAUUGGGAGUGAAGUGUAUUUCAAUUAUAUUAUGAUUGUUGUAGGAUAUAUUUUUUAUACAUACAAAAUUUUAUAUGUAUUAUAUUUACAGGUGCAAUUAAAAAAUAUCUGCAAAAUUUUAUAUGCA